UGGGGAAUAUUGCACAAUGGGCGCAAGCCUGAUGCAGCCAUGCCGCGUGUGUGAAGAAGGCCUUCGGGUUGUAAAGCACUUUCAGCGAGGAGGAAGGUGGUGAGCUUAAUACGCUCAUCAAUUGACGUUACUCGCAGAAGAAGCACCGGCUAACUCCGUGCCAGCAGCCGCGGUAAUACGGAGGGUGCAAGCGUUAAUCGGAAUUACUGGGCGUAAAGCGCACGCAGGCGGUUUGUUAAGUCAGAUGUGAAAAUCCCCGGGCUCAACCUGGGAACUGCAUUUGAAACUGGCAAGCUAGAGUCUCGUAGAGGGGGGUAGAAUUCCAGGUGUAGCGGUGAAAUGCGUAGAGAUCUGGAGGAAUACCGGUGGCGAAGGCGGCCCCCUGGACGAAGACUGACGCUCAGGUGCGAAAAGCGUGGGGAGCAAAACAGGAUUAGAUACCCUGGUAGUCCACGCUGUAAAACGAUGUCGAUUUUGGAGGUUGUGCCCUUGAGGCGUGGNUUCCGGAGCUAACG
rnacentral:rRNA from 1 species